UUGCUAUGCGAACCAAUUUUAUCUUGCAAUGUUAACAAGAAUAGUUUAACAAAAUGCCUAAAUGCAAUUAAUUAUUGCAAUGUUGUUAAAAAAGGAAACGCCUCACUUUUCUUAGUCACCUUGAAGGGAAAUAGGGAAGCAUUAGUUUAUGAUGUUGAUGAUUUUUGAUGGUUACAUUUUCAAAUUAUUAUCAAAUAAAACCAUGACUAUUUUGGCAUUACGUGAGGUAAAUUGGAUGAUUCAACUCGGGAAAACUCUUCAUUAAUUAUAGCAUCCGUUAAAAGGAAAAAAUUAUUGAUUUUGUUGCCGAGUAUACCAUUAUAGUGUUAACAUGAUUUCACAAUAAAACUUUGCGUGCAAAUAAGGUAGCCGAAGUUACCAACAAUGCAAAGCGACGAUAGCCUGUUGUCAUGGCGAAGAUCAUGUGUUGCCUUGGCGAUAAGAGCAGGAGGCAGAGAGAUAAAUGGUGACAUGGGCAAAUACUUGAUCGAUAAUGAAUAAUUUGGAAAUAUUUAAUACUUCCAUUGAAAAGUUGAAACACUCGUUUUCGUAAAGUAACAUUAUGCUUGAAAAGCUACAGGAAUGUUUAGUAGCGAGAAAAUGAAUCUCUCCUAGUAGCGAGAAAAUUAAUGUCCUGUCUGAGAAAGCAUGUUAAACGGGAGAUGAUGAGUUAUUAGCCAGUACCAAACCACCGCAUAUUGGAAUGAUGAAUCAAACUCAGAUACAGCUGCAGCUAAAGCAGUAUCAAAAACAGUUUUAUUACGUAAGGAGGUACCUGAAGAAAACGGUGCCAAAAUUACACUUUCCCACAUUUUCGCUAGGCAGGGUAUCUGAAACCAAAAUAAAGCAUAAUAUAACGUAACAUUUCAACCUGCCUACAAGAAUUUCUUUCAUAAGAAUAAAUUAUUUGAAGUUUCUUAAACACUUUAUACAGUCAGACUUUAAGACACGUUAAUCGUUUGCUUCUUUUGGAACAACUAAACAUAAUACUUAAACCCUUAAAGGGAUAGGGUAUAAAAUAGUCAGGAUUUCUUCUUUCUAACUAGUAACUCCUGGUUCCUUUUUUCCAAAAAGGAAUUGAAAAUAUAAAUUUUCUCAGGGAACGUUGAAGUGGUAAAAUAAUGCAGAGUAACUUGCCUCUCUUAAUUCGGGAAUACCGCACAAAACGACGAGAGUAUGCCGCAAAUAAUCAAUCUAUAAUAGAAAAAAUAAUAUGAAAACAUACCUAUGGUCUCAGCACUUUGAAAGAAUACUAUGUAGAGUACCUCUCUGCGAUACCAGUUAUCAAUAUAUAAAUGGCACAAUGAGGUCUUUGCGUUAGGUAUUGUUUCCUGGUGUAUUACUAAACAAUGAUUCUCAUUGACAAUAUAACAUCUUUGUUAAGGCUGGUUGUCAGAUUCUCAUUAUUGCUGUUGCAAAAAGGUUGCUCUUCUCACAUACACAGUGGGCUCCGCUUAUAGUCACUCCGCUUAAAGUCACUAUACUGGUUACAGUUAGGCCCAAAUAUGCAAAACUAUUAAAGAAAGUUCCGUUUACAGUCAAAACUUCUCAAGCAACAUUUGAUGGGACUAUAACCGGAGUCUACUAUACAAUAAACUAUCGUUAGCUUGAACAUCAGAUAACUGGAACAUUCUCUUUAUCGAACUGAUUUUGCAUUCCCCUUGGUCACUUGGAGGAUCUAGUUAUCGAGAGUUUAAUGUACACUCAUUCAAUUGGAAAUGGCGGUGAUUGAUAUCAGGUUGGGGAGCAUUAGAUCCAUCCUACAGUUAAUUUACCGUACACAAAAUAUAUUGAUGUAUAACACGAGCUGAAUAGGUCUAGCCUUUUCGUAUUUCAAGAACCCUUACCCACAGCUUAGUAUUUUGGUGUUAUUUUCGGAAUGCUGUGACAGGAAGGUGAUUGGGCUGUAAAAAGUUAGCUAAGGUGGUAUCUCGUUUUAGUUUUUUGAAAGCUUACAGACUUGAAGCUCGUCUAUCGUUCGUAUUUUCAGUAUGAAUCGCGAGCUUCUGGAAACCUUUAAAGGGAGAAAAAACAAUUCCUAUCCAUAUCCGCAUGCAUAUACGCAUAGAAGUCGCAGCAUUGCGGUUAAGGCCUUAAAGCUUAGUGAUGUAUUAGUUAACAGAGAGAAGAUUCAAUUUUUAGCAAUUUGCCUUUUCAAGCAAUAAUUUGAGCGUAUAAUCAAUGGGGAAUGCAGAUUGUCUGUGAAUCUAUAGAUUUCUUCAAGAAGUAGAGAAGGCAAUGAAAAUAGUUGAUAGAACACGCGGCAUCAACACAGUGGUCUUGUGUAUCUAGAAUUGUGUAUCUUUCUGGGUGUACCUCGGAAAUAAUGCCUUUUGGAUAAAAAAGAAAUGCAGACACAAGAAAGUAUAUAGAAAGGAGUUGAAAGACCGACAGAUAUUAGUCGAAAAUAUCAAAACUGCAGAAAAAUAAAGCACAAAGAGACAGGGAACUGUAUUGUGCUGUAUCGGCAGACACUACCCUCAAGCCAUUGAUUACCAUGGUAACGAUGGCAAUUUCUCGCUUAGGUUCGCGUGUUAGACUCGUUUCGGUUAUUGGGCUUGUUUUUAUUCUUGGUUUGGAGACGAAGGGCAAAAUGGUAGUAAUUCAGUUUUCGAUGUUUUCGUGAAUUUCAAGCAGCCAACGCUAAGUUACAAUUCAAAAAAUGGUAUAAAACUCGAUACAGGUUUAUCGUAUCUAAAAAUGUUAAAACACCCAGACAAUGGUUAAAGAAAGGCCGCUGUGAAGGAUUGACAAGCCUUGAAAGGCAUCUUGCCUUUAUCUGGCUAAAUCCAGGCUUUAGAAGAAUGGGCUAUAAAUAAGGAGAAGAUCGAUGAAGUUCGCUGGAUCAACGAAAAGAUUAACGGAUUAAGCAAUAUAUGGAAUUUCAGCUUUAAAAUGAUCGAAAUAUCAAGGCUAUGAUUGAAAAUAGAGUAACGCUAAAAGAACCGCUGGACUAAAAGUAUUCUAUCAGCCGGUGCGUCAGAUAAAUCUUAGAGCUGGGUAAAAAGGAAACGAGAUAAAGGGAUAGACAUCGUAAAGUUUUUAUGUAUCACGGUCUUCUCAGGCGAUACAUGAGGAUUUUAUCAUAUUGUAAGGAAAGCCUAUAUGAGCAAAGAUCAUCGCAAUGGCUAUAUAUUUCAGCCUCGUUUACAUGCAGAAUGAAAAUUUCAGUUACUUGUGAAGCUUAGAGAGUUGACAAUUAGAGAGAUCUUUGCUAUGUUAUUGAUAGCACAACAUUGAAGCCGCUAAAAGAAGAUUGCUGCUGAGCUGUCACUACGGAAACAGAGAUGCAUCAGGCAAUAUUCUUACAUGCAUCCUGUCUCAGCCGUUGAAUGAGGGAUUUUCUUCUGUACCAAGUAUGCAUAUAAGCAACCUUUACGUGGAAGCUUGUUUGGAAUCCAGUAGCCUAUUUCGAAAUCGUCAUAGAAGCAACGUGGAUAUUGUCGGGGUGCAUCUUAAUGCCGGAGGGUGCAUAUUUCCGUCAGAAGAAGUACCUAACAGAGUAACGAUAUUCUCCAAUAUAUCGGCAUCAUUUGAAACGACACUUAAACGAGAAGACAUAAUUUACGGUGAUUGAAAAAUUUACCAUUCCAAAGGCAAGAAAUUGUGGUAGAAGUAUAUUCCACAACUGGACGUCGUAAAUCUUGUAGUCAAGGCAUAGAUUCCUGAUCAACCGAAGACCCUGGAUAGGAAAGAAUACGAAAACAAGUGGAAAGGAAAAAAAGGCAGUGCAAAGAGAAACUAUUCACUGGCUCGACGAUAGCAAAAAGAGGAAGAAAAAUCAACCAGCCUUGCUGCUUCAUGAUGAAACAAUUGCGUCAAGGAACAUCUCUGAGGCAAGCUCUGGGUUGAAGAACAAGAGCAUAUCGUGAAACGAUCAAGAUAACAGAGCUAACGAUCACAGUUAUAUUGAUUUUGAUUAGGAUCUGACUGUUACCAGAGGUAAGUAUUCAACGAUGGAGGUAAUGAGAGAUUCAUGUACAAUAGCCAGGACUCACAUAUGAGGACCCACAUGUCAUACCCACAAAGAAUCUACACAAUGUCGGUCUAAUUUAAGAUACCUUUGUCCAAAAAAUGAGUUUCAUGGAGUAGAUACGGUUUUUGUAAAAUAAUUUUUGUCCGACAAUGUAAAUGAGCUAGUAGUCUGUAACGCAGAUCUUAUCAGCUGUCUCACUAACAUAUGUUUUCACUGUGAAUUUUUUAACCUGUGCCAGUUAGAUGUUUCUAGCGUUGGCUGUUUCGGCGACUAAUUCUCUGAAAGCUUAGUGGUUUAUUGAACUUUAAAAGAUUCUAGCCUAGACCAUAGGUAGCUUAAUCAAGGUAUAAUCCUCGUUCACGGAAAAUUAUCUUAUACUAAUAACAAUACCCUUACUUAUUUUGUCGAGCCUAGAGUUACUUUUCGUUCAAAAUGAAGCAAAGGGAAACUUCCUCUUCAAAAACGUGUCCUUUCUAUAGAUUAAAGAGAUGUGCAAAUGAAGCUUGGACACUUCGAUUGCCCUACAUCAACUGUAUAUCAACUGUUACGCAAAUAUCACAUUUCCAAUACCAUGAGUAAAGGAGAGGGGCGAGGUGAUAAGAAAGAGGAGAGAAAAGAAACAGGGGAGAGGAGGGGGGAUAAGGAAGAGGAAAACAAGGGGCAGGGUAGA